CCUCACUCUUCCCCCUAGCUCUCAUCUAUGAUGCACUUUUUAGCUUUAUUCAAGACAAUUCACUUUAUUCAAAGUUGGCCAAAUGAAUAAAUCUUCAAAGGGAAAGCUUUGAAAGCUUGGUAGCAACAUGAAGCAUCACAAAUGUUGUCUUACUUAGGGAAAUGCAAAUAUCCGCAAAAUCAGAGAAAGCGCGGAGAUGCAGAUCUUCUAUCCGGGUCCAGUGGACCAGAGGCUCAGAUUCCAUUUCUCUCACCCCAUGUGUGUGAUCAUCUGCAGGCUCUGCAAUCUUUCUGUGACAACCCACGCAAUGGGAAAUGGCCACAGUAAGGCCAGGUCCUCUGAAAAACUCUGGAACAUGUCUAUAACAUGACCUUUGCCAUGACCUUGGAUUCUUGGAAAGUUCCAAAAGAGGAGAGAGAGGGCUUCUGUCAUUCUAGAAUGAGAUCUUUCCUUUUACAGCUCCAGCAAUAAGCAGUGAGCUGAUUGACCCAAAUGGUUUUCUUUAAACAAAUUCGAAGGAUC